GGAAGACAGAACACACCCUACUGUGUGACUUGGCAGGACGGGAAGGGGAGUUAUUACCUGGUCUCUGCUGAAAGUAACCAUACACUGAACUGAAGUGGACCACUGCCCAUCAUGCUCCUGCCCCAGCUCCACUUUCCAGCCACUCACUGUGAAAAGGACACUCCAAGGAUCAUCUUCCCACCAGGUCCAGGGGUCUUUUCUUCCCAGGUGUUCCAGGAAGUACCUCAAC